ACCAUCCUUUUCUUGGGGUUGCGCUACUGUCCAAUGAACACAUAGUGAGGGCAGUACUGCUCACGCCAAAAAGCCAUACUUGUAGCAGAACAUGGUCAUGGUCACUGGUGGUCUGCUGCUGGUAUGAUCCACUACAACUUUCUGAAUCC
rnacentral:ncRNA from 1 species